rnacentral:rRNA from 1 species
GAUGAACGCUGGCGGCGUGCCUAAUACAUGCAAGUCGAGCGAACAGACGAGGAGCUUGCUCCUCUGACGUUAGCGGCGGACGGGUGAGUAACACGUGGAUAACCUACCUACAAGACUGGGAUAACUUCGGGAAACCGGAGCUAAUACCGGAUAAUAUAUUGAACCGCAUGGUUCAAUAGUGAAAGACGGUUUUGCUGUCACUUAUAGAUGGAUCCGCGCCGCAUUAGCUAGUUGGUAAGGUAACGGCUUACCAAGGCAACGAUGCGUAGCCGACCUGAGAGGGUGAUCGGCCACACUGGAACUGAGACACGGUCCAGACUCCUACGGGAGGCAGCAGUAGGGAAUCUUCCGCAAUGGGCGAAAGCCUGACGGAGCAACGCCGCGCGAGUGAUGAAGGUCUUCGGAUCGUAAAACUCUGUUAUUAGGGAAGAACAAAUGUGUAAGUAACUAUGCACGUCUUGACGGUACCUAAUCAGAAAGCCACGGCUAACUACGUG